rnacentral:tRNA from 1 species
AAAAAGAUAAGCUAAAUAAAGCUAUUAGGCUCAUACCCUAAAUAUAGAAGAUAAAUAUUCUUCUUUUUA